GGCACUUUGGCGGAGUGGUUAACGCGCUGCCCUGCUAUACUCUGUUAUUACGAGUCUUGUUAGGCAGUUCCUUCGGGAGCGAGUGUUCGAAUCACUCAGGUGUCG